GACGAACGCUGGCGGCGGGCUUAACACAUGCAAGUCGAACGGAAAGGCCCUGCGUUUGUGGGGUGCUCGAGUGGCGAACGGGUGAGUAACACGUGAGUAACCUGCCCUUGACUUUGGGAUAACUUCAGGAAACUGGGGCUAAUACCGGAUAGGAGCUCCUGCUGCAUGGUGGGGGUUGGAAAGUUUCGGCGGGUGGGGCUGGACGCGCGGCUGAUCGGCUUGUUGGUGGGGGAGUGGCUUACCAAGGCUGUGACGGGUAGCCGGCCGGAGAGGGUGACCGGCGACAUUGGGCCUGCGAUACGGCCCAGACUCCUACGGGAGGCAGCAGUGGGGAAUAUUGCACAAUGGGCGGAAGCCUGAUGCAGCAACGCCGCGUGCGGGAUGACGGCCUUCGGGUUGUAAACCGCUUUCGCCUGUGACGAAGCGUGAGUGACGGUAAUGGGUAAAGAAGCACCGGCUAACUACGUG
rnacentral:rRNA from 1 species